rnacentral:tRNA from 1 species
GAGGGUCUAGCUCAGUGGUAGAGUGUGUGCUUAGCAUGCACGAGGUCCUGGGUUCAAUCCCCAGGACUGCCA